rnacentral:rRNA from 1 species
AGUAAUACAUCGGAACGUACCCAGAAGUGGGGGAUAACGCAGCGAAAGUUGCGCUAAUACCGCAUACGUUCUACGGAAGAAAGUGGGGGACCUUCGGGCCUCAUGCUUUUGGAGCGGCCGAUGUCUGAUUAGCUAGUUGGUGGGGUAAAGGCUCACCAAGGCGACGAUCAGUAGCUGGUCUGAGAGGACGACCAGCCACACUGGAACUGAGACACGGUCCAGACUCCUACGGGAGGCAGCAGUGGGGAAUUUUGGACAAUGGGCGCAAGCCUGAUCCAGCAAUGCCGCGUGAGUGAAGAAGGCCUUCGGGUUGUAAAGCUCUUUUGUCAGGGAAGAAACGGCUGAGGUUAAUACCUUCGGCUAAUGACGGUACCUGAAGAAUAAGCACCGGCUAACUACGUGCCAGCAGCCGCGGUAAUACGUAGGGUGCAAGCGUUAAUCGGAAUUACUGGGCGUAAAGCGUGCGCAGGCGGUUUUGUAAGUCUGACGUGAAAUCCCCGGGCUCAACCUGGGAAUUGCGUUGGAGACUGCAAGGCUGGAGUCUGGCAGAGGGGGGUAGAAUUCCACGUGUAGCAGUGAAAUGCGUAGAGAUGUGGAGGAACACCGAUGGCGAAGGCAGCCCCCUGGGUCAAGACUGACGCUCAUGCACGAAAGCGUGGAGAGCAAACAGGAUUAGAUACCCUGGUAGUCCACGCCCUAAACGAUGUCUACUAGUUGUCGGGUUUUAAUUAACUUGGUAACGCAGCUAACGCGUGAAGUAGACCGCCUGGGGAGUACGGUCGCAAGAUUAAAACUCAAAGGAAUUGACGGGGACCCGCACAAGCGGUGGAGCGUGUGGUUUAAUUCGAUGCAACGCGAAGAACCUUACCUGGCCUUGACAUACAGAGAACUUUCCAGAGAUGGAUUGGUGCCUUCGGGAACUCUGAUACAGGUGCUGCAUGGCUGUCGUCAGCUCGUGUCGUGAGAUGUUGGGUUAAGUCCCGCAACGAGUGCAACCCUUGUCAUUAGUUGCUACGCAAGAGCACUCUAAUGAGACUGCCGGUGACAAACCGGAGGAAGGUGGGGAUGACGUCAAGUCCUCAUGGCCCUUAUGGGUAGGGCUUCACACGUCAUACAAUGGUACAUACAGAGGGCCGCCAACCCGCGAGGGGGAGCUAAUCCCAGAAAGUGUAUCGUAGUCCGGAUCGUAGUCUGC